UUGGAACCACCGGUCCCCGUACGAUCAUCGAAGUUAAGUAACAUUGAGCCUUGUCAGUACCUACAUGGGUAACCUCUUGGGAAUAGCAAGUGCUGCAUG